rnacentral:lncRNA from 1 species
AGGAAAUGGACGAAGGGAUGCAAGGCACGAAGGAGCUAACCAAUAAGGGGUGGCAGAACACAGGAUCAAGCUUGCAACCAUGAAUAUGAAAGACUAUAUGUUUAAGAUGGUGGGAGCAGAAAAACAGGAGCCUGGGGAAUUGACAACAUCAUGAAUAUGCUGCACCAUUCUGGACCACUGCAGUCAGAUAACUCCUUAUAUGAGAAAAAUGGGUAACCUACUGGAUUAAGCACCUAUAGGUCGUGUUCUCUGUUGAAUGUAACCAAAAACAAACCUAAUUAAUUCAAAACUCUGUAGAAUUACAAGUAUUAGGAACCUUGAUAUUUGAUUAUUUGGUUAAGACCAAUAAAAGAAUGAAAGAUGAUAAUAUGUACAAAUGGAAAAGAAAAAUAAUAUGUGUGUGUUCUCUUAAACAUCUUCCAGUACAAGUUAUAACUUCAGCAAUUUUGAAAAUUUUUAGUGAUUCUAAAAUAAUGUGUUUUUAAUGACCAAAAGCAGGCUGCUAAUUCAUCAAGUAAAUAGUAAACUUGUUCCUACUUUGCUCAAAUAUGAAGCUGACUGAUAGAAAUCAUCAAAGUCCUUGGGUUAAAAUUGUUCAAAUUAGAAGUAUUGGUGUAUAAAGAAAAUUGACUUUUUACUAGGUUUGGUAAUUAUCCCUUCACAUGAUAGAAACAUAUGAUACAGC